rnacentral:rRNA from 1 species
GGGUUAAAAUUAAUAAUUAGUGUUGAUUUAAUAAAAGAAAUUUUAAUAUUAAAAUAUUUAAUGGGGGUUAAAGUAUUUUUAAUAGAAAAAAUUUGAAAUUUUAUAGUUAAUAAGUAUUGUGAAAGAAAUUUGAAAUAAAUUUAAAAUAAAUUUUUUUAAAAGUAAAUUUGAUUUGUUGUAUCUUGUGUAUCAGAGUUUAUUAAAAAUUUUUUAAAUUUUAAAUUUCUCGAAUUUAAAAGAGUUAAUUAAUUAUUAAAUUUAUUGUUUCAUAAAUAUUUUAAAUAAUUAAUUGGAAAUGAAAUGUUAUUCGUUUUUAAAUAUAUCUAGUUUUUUAAGAAAAAAAUUUAAUUUUUAAUUAAUUUUAAAAAUCAAUUAAUUAAAAUUAAUUGAUUUUUAAAAUUAAUUUAAUAUUUUAAGGGAUAAGCUUUAAAUUAAAUUUUUAUAAUUUAUUUGUUUAUAAAUUUGAAAAUUUUAUAAUUUAUAUUGUUAAUAAAUUUUAAUUUAUUAUAAAUAAUUUCAUUAAAUUUUAAAAUUUAAUAGUAAUUUAAUAUUUUAUUAAAAAAUAUUUUAUAAUAAAUUAUAUUUAGUUAUAAUGAUAAAAUUAGUAUAUAAUAUAAUUUUAAUAUUAAAAUUUACAUUUAUGAUAAUUAUUUUAAAGGAAUUCGACAAAAUUUUAUAUUCACCUGUUUAUCAAAAACAUGUCUUUUUGUAAAUAAUUUAAAGUCUAAUCUGCCCACUGAUUUUUAAUUAAAGGGCUGCAGUAUAUUGACUGUACAAAGGUAGCAUAAUCAAUAGUCUCUUAAUUGGUGACUUGUAUGAAAGAUUGGAUGAAAUAUAAAUUGUCUCUGAAAUAUAUAUAUUGAAUUUAAUUUUUUAUUUAAAAAGUUAAAAUAAUUUAAAAAGACGAGAAGACCCUAUAGAGUUUUAUAUUUAUUUAAUUUUAGGUUAUAUUUUAAUUUAAUUUAAACUUAAAUUUAGUUAAUUAUUUUGUUGGGGUGAUAAAAAAAUAAAUAAAACUUUUUUUUAAUUUAAUCAUUGAUUUAUGAAUUAUUGAUCCAGUUAUUAUUGAUUAUAAGAAAAAAUUACCUUAGGGAUAACAGCGUAAUUUUUUUUUUUAGUACUUAUAAGAAGAAGAGUUUGCGACCUCGAUGUUGGAUUAAGAUAAAAUUUAAAUGCAAAAGUUUAAAAUUUUUGAUCUGUUCGAUCAUUAAAAUCUUACAUGAUCUGAGUUCAAACCGGUGUAAGCCAGGUUGGUUUCUAUCUUUUAAAAAUUUUAAUAUUUUAGUACGAAAGGAUUAAAUAUUAUAAUUAAAUUAAUUGUUUUUGAAUUUUAUUAAUAAUUUAAUAUAUUUAUUAGCUAUUUUGGCAGAAAAAUGU